rnacentral:rRNA from 1 species
CAGUCGCCGCGGUAAUACGGAGGGUGCAAGCGUUAAUCGGAAUUACUGGGCGUAAAGCGCACGCAGGCGGUCUGACAAGUCAGAUGUGAAAUCCCCGGGCUUAACCUGGGAACUGCAUUUGAAACUGUCAGGCUGGAGUCUUGUAGAGGGGGGUAGAAUUCCAGGUGUAGCGGUGAAAUGCGUAGAGAUCUGGAGGAAUACCGGUGGCGAAGGCGGCCCCCUGGACAAAGACUGACGCUCAGGUGCGAAAGCGUGGGGAGCAAACAGGAUUAGAUACCCCGGUAGUCCCUGUCUCUUAUAA